GCACUCCGCCUGGGAACUACGGUCGCAAGACUAAAACUCAAAGGAAUUGACGGGGACCCGCACAAGCGGUGGAGCAUGUGGUUUAAUUCGAUGCAACGCGAAAAACCUUACCACUCCUUGACAUGGAGGUUAGAUCUUUCUUAACAGAAAGGCGCAGUUCGGCUGGAUCUCACACAGGUGCUGCAUGGCUGUCGUCAGCUCGUGUCGUGAGAUGUUGGGUUAAGUCCCGCAACGAGCGUAACCCUCAUCCUUAGUUACCAGCGGGUAAUGCCGGGCACUUUAAGGAAACUGCCGGUGAUAAACCGGAGGAAGGUGGGGAUGAUGUCAAGUCAGCACGGCCCUUAUGGGGUGGGCUACACACGUGCUACAAUGGCGACCACAAUAGGUUGCAUGGUCGCAAGA
rnacentral:rRNA from 1 species